rnacentral:rRNA from 1 species
CCUACGGGAGGCAGCAGUAAGGAAUAUUGGACAAUGGGCGAAAGCCUGAUCCAGCCAUCCCGCGUGCAGGACGAAGGCCCUCUGGGUUGUAAACUGCUUUUGUCAGGGAAGAAUUGAGUGGAUUUAUCUGCUUUUGACGGUACCUGAAGAAUAAGCACCGGCUAACUCCGUGCCAGCAGCCGCGGUAAUACGGAGGGUGCAAGCGUUAUCCGGAAUCACUGGGUUUAAAGGGUGCGUAGGCGGCUUGUUAAGUCAGAGGUGAAAGCUUCCCGCUCAACGGGAGAAUUGCCUUUGAUACUGUCAGGCUUGAAUCAGAUUGAGGCGAGCGGAAUGUGGCAUGUAGCGGUGAAAUGCUUAGAUAUGCCAUAGAACACCGAUUGCGAAGGCAGCUUGCCAAGUCUGUAUUGACGCUGAGGCACGAAAGCGUGGGGAUCAAACAGGAUUAGAUACCCUGGUAGUCCACGCCCUAAACGAUGUUUACUCGACGUUCCGCCCCCGGGCGGAGCGUCCAAGCGAAAGCGUUAAGUAAACCACCUGGGGAGUACGCCGGCAACGGUGAAACUCAAAGGAAUUGACGG